GCAAGUUCCUUCCGAAGUAGCAGAACCUUCCCUGUAGAGAAGAAUUAAUGAAAAACAAAAAAAAUAAUUCAGCACUUUGGCAGGAAUAGAAAGACAGUACGCAUAUUUUAAAAUAUGCGUACUUUUCGAAAUUUUUUCGAAUUUGAAUUUUAAUGGCAGUGUAAACAGUAUUUAUUGCGAUUAUAGAACUUUUAAAAUGUUUUGAAGUUAUUGUUUCUAGAUAGAUCGAUGAAGAGAACCGAGAAAUUGGUCGAAAACGUUUUUGAUAUUAGUUCUAUUUAGUAUAGGAAUGCUUAAUUACUGCAAAUAGUGCUAGAAACCGCAUAGUAAGAAAAACUUUGAAAAUUUUGAUGUUGCAAAAUUAUAAAUUGGAAUUAGACCCAUUCUGUCGAAAUUAUCAUACUCUCCUUUAUCAUUAUAUCCAGUUAAUUAUUAAAAUUUCAAUCGCUUCCUCUCAUAUCCCACCAAGUAUCCCACAUACAAGAUUUUAAAUGUUGCUUUAGCUCUGAAGCUAUCCUUAUUAUUAAAGGAAUUAUUUUUCUAAUACAAUAUAUUUUUCGAUUCGUUGAAUGGCUGGAAAUUAUUUCUACGAAUCUUUUGAUCCAGGUAAUCUUCACUUAGCAUCAACUAGCAGUGAUCUAGUUUGAACAGAUGUGUGUUGCUUUUUUUUUAAUAUGGCGCACUACCAUAAAAUGCUAAACUUAACUUUUAAAAGGUCCCACUGGAUGGUUGCAUAGAAUUUUUUUUUUUUUAUAUUUAUCAGGAUCGAAUUUCUAUCCGAAUUUUAUUCGAGUUCUCCAAAUUUAGGUAUCUAAAUCAUUCAUAAACAGACUUGGCAUAUACGCGAUUACUGAAUCGAUGUUCCUUUCUACGAUCGUGAAGCACUUUUAAACUUGAACGUAGCCAUUGUAUAUUGUAUAAUUGAAACUGGAUAAUUUUCAUUCGGUUUCAACUACUCGUCGAACUAUUGUUCAGUUGUAAACGAAUAUGUGGCAUUAUAUAGAGAUCGAUAAUCCGCUAAUUUUUGUGCGUGUCUAGCGAAAGUGAUGAGAAAUUAUGCUGGCGUUAAUUCGACGGUAGUUUUUAAGUAUUUUCACGUAAAUCUGGUUGAAGGCGAUAGCAGAUUUCUGUCGUAUAUAGUUUCGGCCAGCGCACAGCAGUUUGGAUUAACAAGUUGACCUGUCUUCCAAGGACGCGCGAAUUUGUUGGACAGACGGCGUGCGCAUAAACCUGUUCCCUAGGUUAAAAAGAAACUAGUUUAUAACAUUGGUAGACCAGCCUAGGGCUGUGUGUCACAUAAAAGAACGCAUUCUAAAGACGGGAGAAAGGACUCCGGCCGUAAGUAUCGAUAUUUGAAGCAUUUCCGAUCUAGACGGGUAGCGACCUCUGUCUUCCAACCAUACGUUGUUAGCCGGCGGAUGUUUGCACCACAGAUUGCUUUGCACUUUCGGCCGUCUCGUUUUCGUACGAGAUUACGCCAUCGAGAGGAGAUUAUUUUCCCACGUGUUGUCGAGAAAGGCACGGCGACUAAUACACUGGAUUAUAUUCGCCUAUGUCGUUAAGUGUCCGGAAGGCAUCUGUUUACCAACCACACACGUAGUAUAGUUGUAUCUGUUAUCCCUGUAUAUCCGGUCAUCGCCGAUUCUACAAAGACCGUCCAAAAAGUCGACCUACUUAGGCGUCGCCGUCAACUCUCGUCUAUAUUUGUCUCUGGAGGCCUCGCUUUGGUUGCGAGUGAGAUUCCUUGCUUACCGAGGCGGCGGCCAUGAUGGUGGCCCCACGUCGCCCUGCAACCACGAGAAAGUGAGAAAGAGUGCUCUGCCAUUGCAUUAUUGCCAUUCGUACGCACAUGCGAUACGACAUCAUCGAAAAGAACAAUGGCCAGUCGACGUUAUCGCUGCGAAAGCGGCUAUAGAGGUGAGAGAGAUCGUCCCGACUGGUUGCCUAAGCUAAAGAACGUGAAUGAAGUCAUCCAUUACAGUCCGCGAACGGGCGUGGGAAUCUCGUAUUUUUCUUCUGACAAAAUAUGGCCUCCCCGCCCCGGUAAAUCUUUAGUUUAUCUCGCAUUCUUAAUCUGUAUGAACGACGUAUGCUUCGUCUUAUAGACGUUGCAUCAGAUUCAUUUGCUAUGCUAAAUCGGUCGUGAUGUGUUCCCCCCGUUCUCGAAUAUGCUGGAUCUGAACUUUAUUCCAGAAUAAUGGUUUGCAAUUCAAUAAUUUUAAUAAACGUCUAUAUAAAUACUUUUCCAACCGUAGACUUCCAGACUGAAUCGAAAAAUCGCUUGAUAUAGUUAUAUAUAUCGACUAUGAAUAACUUGGCAUAUCGAAUUCCUUCACUCUUGGAUGAUUCAUAAAUCGUUCUUAUCUUCCCGUUUGUGGAUUUUUCUGUUAGUUUUUAAUUCUGUAAUCUAAAAACAGCCUUUCAAAAUAUUUUUUUUUCCGAUAAUAACACUUUAUAAUUCGUAAAACAAUAGCUAUAUAUAAGCCUAUUCGAAAAACAUGAUACUAUAUUAUUCUACAAAUUUAUUUUAAUGUUGUUGAUACUUUUUAUUGAUUUUUAACUUAAAACUCAAGUUUUAAUGUGAUUAAUAUUGAUAAGAUAUGUAUAUAAAGAUUUAACUUCUUAUUUAAAUAUUUCGUGAAUCUUGAACUGUG
rnacentral:lncRNA from 1 species